rnacentral:rRNA from 1 species
UGGGGAAUCUUGGACAAUGGGGGCAACCCUGAUCCAGCCAUGCCGCGUGAGUGAUGAAGGCCUUAGGGUCGUAAAGCUCUUUCGCCUGUGAAGAUAAUGACGGUAGCAGGUAAAGAAACCCCGGCUAACUCCGUGCCAGCAGCCGCGGUAAUACGGAGGGGGUUAGCGUUGUUCGGAAUUACUGGGCGUAAAGCGCACGUAGGCGGACCAGAAAGUUGGGGGUGAAAUCCCGGGGGCUCAACCCCGGAACUGCCUCCAAAACUAUUGGUCUAGAGUUCGAGAGAGGUGAGUGGAAUUCCAAGUGUAGAGGUGAAAUUCGUAGAUAUUUGGAGGAACACCAGUGGCGAAGGCGGCUCACUGGCUCGAUACUGACGCUGAGGUGCGAAAGUGUGGGGAGCAAACAGGAUUAGAUACCCUGGUAGUCCACACCGUAAAACGAUGAAUGCCAGU